UGCAGUCGAGCGAUGGAUUAAGAGCUUGCUCUUAUGAAGUUAGCGGCGGACGGGUGAGUAACACGUGGGUAACCUGCCCAUAAGACUGGGAUAACUCCGGGAAACCGGGGCUAAUACCGGAUAAUAUUUUGAACUGCAUGGUUCGAAAUUGAAAGGCGGCUUCGGCUGUCACUUAUGGAUGGACCCGCGUCGCAUUAGCUAGUUGGUGAGGUAACGGCUCACCAAGGCAACGAUGCGUAGCCGACCUGAGAGGGUGAUCGGCCACACUGGGACUGAGACACGGCCCAGACUCCUACGGGAGGCAGCAGUAGGGAAUCUUCCGCAAUGGACGAAAGUCUGACGGAGCAACGCCGCGUGAGUGAUGAAGGCUUUCGGGUCGUAAAACUCUGUUGUUAGGGAAGAACAAGUGCUAGUUGAAUAAGCUGGCACCUUGACGGUACCUAACCAGAAAGCCACGGCUAACUACGUGCCAGCAGCCGCGGUAAUACGUAGGUGGCAAGCGUUAUCCGGAAUUAUUGGGCGUAAAGCGCGCGCAGGUGGUUUCUUAAGUCUGAUGUGAAAGCCCACGGCUCAACCGUGGAGGGUCAUUGGAAACUGGGAGACUUGAGUGCAGAAGAGGAAAGUGGAAUUCCAUGUGUAGCGGUGAAAUGCGUAGAGAUAUGGAGGAACACCAGUGGCGAAGGCGACUUUUCUGGUC
rnacentral:rRNA from 1 species